AGCCUAAGUCGGAUUAGCUAGUUGGUGGGGUAAAGGCCUACCAAGGCGACGAUCUGUAGCUGGUCUGAGAGGAUGAUCAGCCACACUGGGACUGAGACACGGCCCAGACUCCUACGGGAGGCAGCAGUGGGGAAUAUUGGACAAUGGGCGAAAGCCUGAUCCAGCCAUGCCGCGUGUGUGAAGAAGGCCUUUUGGUUGUAAAGCACUUUAAGUAGGGAGGAAAAGCUAAUGGUUAAUACCCAUUAGCCCUGACGUUACCUACAGAAUAAGCACCGGCUAACUCUGUGCCAGCAGCCGCGGUAAUACAGAGGGUGCAAGCGUUAAUCGGAAUUACUGGGCGUAAAGCGCGCGUAGGUGGUUACUUAAGUCAGAUGUGAAAGCCCCGGGCUUAACCUGGGAACUGCAUCUGAUACUGGGUGACUAGAGUAGGUGAGAGGGGAGUAGAAUUCCAGGUGUAGCGGUGAAAUGCGUAGA
rnacentral:rRNA from 1 species